AGUGAACGCUGGCGGUAGGCCUAACACAUGCAAGUCGAACGGCAGCACAGUAAGAGUUCGCCCUUACGGGUGGCGAGUGGCGGAUGGGUGAGGCAUACAUCGGCUUCUUCUUUUUCGUGGGGGAUAACGUAGGGCAACUUACGCUAAUACCGCAUAUGACCUACGGGUGAAAGCAGGGGAUCUUCGGACCUUGCGCGAUUGAAUGAGCCGAUGUCGGAUUAGCUAGUUGGCGGGGUAAAGGCCCACCAAGGCGACGAUCCGUAGCUGGUCUGAGAGGAUGAUCAGCCACACUGGAACUGAGACACGGUCCAGACUCCUACGGGAGGCAGCAGUGGGGAAUAUUGGGCAAUGGGCGCAAGCCUGAUCCAGCCAUACCGCGUGAGUGAAGAAGGCCUUCGGAUUGUAAAACCCUUUUAUUAGGAAAGAAAAACAGCGGAAUAAUACCCCGCUGUUCUGACGGUACCCAAAGAGUAAGCACCGGCUAACUACGUG
rnacentral:rRNA from 1 species